rnacentral:tRNA from 1 species
GCCGACAUAGCUCAUUUGGUAGAGCAACUGACUUUUAAUCAGUAGGUCCCGGGUUCGACUCCUGGUGUCGGCACCA